UCGAGAAUCUUUCACAAUGGGCGAAAGCCUGAUGGAGCGACGCCGCGUGGAGGAUGAAGGCCUUCGGGUUGUAAACUCCUGUCAUGAGGGAACAAGAAAGUGAUAGUACCUCAAGAGGAAGAGACGGCUAACUCUGUGCCAGCAGCCGCGGUAAUACAGAGGUCUCAAGCGUUGUUCGGAUUUACUGGGCGUAAAGGGUGCGUAGGCGGUGGCGUAAGUCGAGUGUGAAAUCUUCCGGCCUAACCGGAAAACUGCACUCGAUACUGCGUCACUAGAGGACUGUAGAGGAGACUGGAAUUCACGGUGUAGCAGUGAAAUGCGUAGAUAUCGUGAGGAAGACCGGUGGCGAAAGCGAGUCUCUGGGCAGUUCCUGACGCUGAGGCACGAAGGCUAGGGGAGCAAACGGGAUUAGAUACCCUUGUAGUCCCUGAGCGGGCUGGCAAGGCGCAU
rnacentral:rRNA from 1 species